rnacentral:lncRNA from 1 species
GCGCUGACACUUCAAAGUCUGGCAAGAAUUGCAGCUCCUCCAUGAGCAGUUCAGUUCAGCAAUCGGCAGCAACCAGGCGGAUCGUCCACAGAGUAUGCACAGGAGGACGAAGUCCCGGGGCUGGUGUUUCCUCAACUCCGCACACCUAGGAAUCACGCACAGUAAAUUAUUAUCGAAACCUGAGUACAGUCUUAAUGAUAAAAAAGAUGGAAGCAGACAGAGG